rnacentral:sRNA from 1 species
GGUGCCGCAGACGCGGGGACGCUGGCUCGCUCCCUCCCUCCCUCCGACGCUAUCAAAUGAUGCUGUUUGGAAAAAUUUCCCAGCAGUUGUGUGGCGUAAAGAAACUCCCAUGGUCAUGUGACUCCAGAUACUUCUGGGGCUGGUUGAAUGCAGUGUUUAAUAAGGUGGAUUAUGAUCGCAUCAGGGAUGUUGGCCCUGACAGGGCGGCAUCCGAGUGGUUGCUGCGCUGUGGGGCCAUGGUGCGCUACCAUGGCCAGGAGAGGUGGCAGAAGGACUACAACCACCUUCCAACAGGCCCUCUGGACAAAUACAAGAUUCAGGCGAUCGAUGCCACCGACUCUUGUAUCAUGAGCAUUGGAUUUGAUCACAUGGAGGGCCUAGAGCAUGUUGAAAAAAUAAGGCUGUGCAAGUGUCAUUAUAUCGAGGAUGACUGUUUGCUGAGACUUAGUCAACUUGAAAAUUUACAAAAAACCAUAUUGGAAAUGGAAAUAAUAUCCUGUGGGAAUAUCACAGACAAAGGCAUCAUUGCUUUGCGUCAUUUAAGAGCCUAGAACACUGCCUGACACUGUAAUAAUCAUCAAAAGCAUGCAUCCACUGGUUAGGAAAGCUGUUCUACAUCCUCUUGUGCCACCAACCAGACCCAUGCCAUGGCCUGGAGCAAGUCACCUAAUCCCAAAUGCAAAAACAGAUAAUACUAGCAAGGA